AACGAACGCUGGCGGCAGGCUUAACACAUGCAAGUCGAACGCAUCCUUCGGGGUGAGUGGCAGACGGGUGAGUAACGCGUGGGAACGUGCCCUUCAGUUCGGGAUAACCCAGGGAAACUUGGGCUAAUACCGAAUACGUGCGAGAGCAGAAAGAUUUAUCGCUGAAGGAUCGGCCCGCGUCUGAUUAGCUAGUUGGUGGGGUAAUGGCCCACCAAGGCGACGAUCAGUAGCUGGUCUGAGAGGAUGAGCAGCCACAUUGGGACUGAGACACGGCCCAAACUCCUCCGGGAGGCAGCAGUGGGGAAUAUUGGGCAAUGGGCGCAAGCCUGAUCCAGCCAUGCCGCGUGAGUGAUGAAGGCCUUAGGGUUGUAAAGCUCUUUCGUCCGGGACGAUAAUGACGGUACCGGAAGAAGAAGCCCCGGCUAACUUCGUGCCAGCCGCCGCAGUAA
rnacentral:rRNA from 1 species